GCCCAAGACAUAAAGUUGCCUGAAAGCUGUGUAGCAAGAAUUCCUGCUCCUGACACAUAGGAUGGUAAUCACAUACAUGAUUGGCUUAAUCAAGAAUCAUGGAUACCUUUCAUGUGAGUACUCACACACCAGAUUUUUUUAUACAUACCUCAGAAGGAAGAUACCUCAAUAUCUGGAAGCACUGUCUCAUGUACAAUUGUUAAUGCUAUCUCUGAAAUGUCUAACAAAAUGUUGACUCGAUCGUUUCAUCAAGACCUCAUCACAAGUUGGAACUAGUGGUCAACAUUGGGACAAUGCAGCCCAAAAUAACAGGGCUGAAUAUUUUCAUGGAGGUAAGCACUACACUUCUGAUGGGUUUAAAGAUUGUAUUACAUUAUCUAAAAGUGAGAAAGUAAACCCCAGCUGCUGUUAUUCUUUUCACAGGGAAGGACAAUCCCCAUUAUGCCAUGAAUGUUUCAUUGCUGAACCACCAUAGAUAUUUUUCCUCUAAUUUGUCUCCCGUUCCUCCCAACAGUGAGCAAGACCUGCCAGCAGAGCUCACUGGAGCAGGGAGACAUCCCGUCAUCCUUUUGGCGCCUGACAAAAUCAUCACAGCAGCCGAAGUUGCUGUGCAGAGAAAGGAGAUCGUCCAAGCAUCAGGCCUCAUCCCAUCACAGAGGAAGGGUAUCCUCCAAAAAGCCAGUGUCCCUUCACAGAGGGAGGGGAUUCUCUCAGCCGCCAGCGUCAAUGCACAGAGGGAGGAGAACCUCCGAUCAUCAGGCGUCAUCCCUGCACGGAGGGAGGGGAUCCUCCAAACAGCUAGUGUCCCUUCACAGAGGAAGGGGAAUCUCUCAGCCGCCAGCAUCAAUGCACAGAGGGAGGAGAUCCUACGAUCAUCAGGCCUCAUCUCGUCACAGAGGGCGGGGAUCCUCCAAACAGCCAGUGUCACUGCGCAGAGGGAGGAAAUCGUCCCAAUGGCCAGCGUCCCUGUGCACAGGGAGGGGAUUGUCCCAAGGGCUAGUGUCCCUGCUGAGAGGGAGGAGAUCCUCCGAGCAUCAGGCCUCAUCCCUGCACGGAGGGAGGGGAUCCUCCAAACAGCCAGUGUCACUGCGCAGAAGGAGGAAAUCGUCCCAAUGGCGAACGCCCCUGCGCACAGGGAGGGGAUUGUCCCAAAGGCUAGUGUCCCUGCUGAGAGGGAGGAGAUCCUCCGAGCAUCAGGCCUCAUCCCUGCACAGAGGAAGGGGAUCCUCCAAACAGCCAGUGUCCCUGCACCGAGGGAGGGAAUUCUCAGAGCAGCUAGCAUCACUGCGCAGAGGGAGGAGAUCCUCAGAGCAUCAGGCCUCAUCCCUGCACAUAGGGAGGGGAUCCUCCGAGCAUCAGGCCUCAUCCCUACAAAGAGGGAGGGGAUUCUUCCAGCAGCUUCUAUCACUGCGCAGAAUAAUAAGAUGCUCAGAGCAUCACAACUCACCCCUGCACAAAGGGAGUUGAUCCUCCUGAUGACCAGUGUCACUGCGCAGAGAAAGGGAAUCUUCCCAAAGGCCAGUGUCUCUGCUUACAGGGAGUGGAUCGUCCCAAAGGCUGGUGUCCCUGCAGAGAGGGAGGAGAUCCUCCUCACAGCCAGUUUCCCUGUGAAGAAGGAAAACAAUCAUCCACAACCACCUCCCAUCAUCCCCAUGGUGGCACCACUGUGGAAAUGGGAUGUUGGAGCGUGUACUGCACCUGUGGAUUUCUAUUCCAAGAGAAGAGAUGUCCGACUUAGAUAUGUUGAGCAUCCUGCUAUGAUGUCCAUCACCAAGCCGGAACACUCCGAUGCCAACCCUCAGUUCCAGACUGGCACCCGGCCGGUGGCUGAGCCCGAGACCCCUGCUGUUCACAAUAACAGUGGAGGCUGGCUCAGCUGGGUCUUUGGGAGUGGAAGAGCUAAUAAGAAGGAGGUUCAUCUACCUGAGGACAAAGACAGAUCUGUUAGGAACUGGUUCUUAACACUAUAUUAUAUGUAGAGACAAUUGAGUGGAUUUAAAUAAAUAAAACAUUGUGGCUUGCUUCACAUUGCUCAUAUCUUCUUCCUCAGAUUGUCUGGGAUCCAACUCUGCACAGAUGGGUUAACAAAACUGAGCCCAAGGCUGAGGUACACACUUAAAUUCAAUUAAAUUAAAAACAGUGAACAACCAUUGUAUUUCAACUGUGAUAAUAUUACUAACAAUUUGGAAAAAUUGUUGAUGUGUUUUACAGGACAAGUGUGUACCACCACCUCCACCGAUGGGGACAUAUGGAUAUCAGGGAAACACUGGCAAUGUCCCCAAAGGAGUGAAUCCCUACUCUAUGAAAGCAGGUGAAUAUUGCUUUAGAAUACAUGUGGUUUAACCAAAACUGUGUCAGCCAAUCAUAGAUGUCCCUGGUGAUCUCCUGCUAACACCUUUCCCACUACCAGCAGGUCUAUGGGGCAGCAGAUACCCUACAAUGCAUUUCAAUGAUGGGACCAACUCAAAGCCUCCAAGCCAUGGGCCUGGACUGCUUCCUAGACAGCUCUCUGGCUUGCUCCCUCCUUCACACUUUGACCUCAUGGCACCAAUGGUUGUGCCACCUGACACUCUACCUUACUGAGGUAUGACUCUGGAACAUCCUUCCAAAUUGUAUCCAUUCAUCAUUAACUGAGAUUUUACUUGAACAUAGCAAAUGGCUGAGGUAGCAAGAAUGUUAACUAUUUUUUGUUUUGUCCAACAGGCCAAUUAACCAGAGUGGAUUUGCCAAACAUAGAUUUUUUCAGUGUUAAAAAACUUCACCAUUAAAAAAAAUUAAAAGAUGAUUUUUUAAUUAAAUCUCUCCUUUGUGUCCUCAUGUAAUUUCAUGUGUUCUAUCAUCGUUUNNNNNNNNNNAACACCUUUCCCACUACCAGCAGGUCUAUGGGGCAGCAGAUACCCUACAAUGCAUUUCAAUGAUGGGACCAACUCAAAGCCUCCAAGCCAUGGGCCUGGACUGCUUCCUAGACAGCUCUCUGGCUUGCUCCCUCCUUCACACUUUGACCUCAUGGCACCAAUGGUUGUGCCACCUGACACUCUACCUUACUGAGGUAUGACUCUGGAACAUCCUUCCAAAUUGUAUCCAUUCAUCAUUAACUGAGAUUUUANNNNNNNNNNACACUGGCAAUGUCCCCAAAGGAGUGAAUCCCUACUCUAUGAAAGCAGGUGAAUAUUGCUUUAGAAUACAUGUGGUUUAACCAAAACUGUGUCAGCCAAUCAUAGAUGUCCCUGGUGAUCUCCUGCUAACACCUUUCCCACUACCAGCAGGUCUAUGGGGCAGCAGAUACCCUACAAUGCAUUUCAAUGAUGGGACCAACUCAAAGCCUCCAAGCCAUGGGCCUGGACUGCUUCCUAGACAGCUCUCUGGCUUGCUCCCUCCUUCACACUUUGACCUCAUGGCACCAAUGGUUGUGCCACCUGACACUCUACCUUACUGAGGUAUGACUCUGGAACAUCCUUCCAAAUUGUAUCCAUUCAUCAUUAACUGAGAUUUUACUUGAACAUAGCAAAUGGCUGAGGUAGCAAGAAUGUUAACUAUUUUUUGUUUUGUCCAACAGGCCAAUUAACCAGAGUGGAUUUGCCAAACAUAGAUUUUUUCAGUGUUAAAAAACUUCACCAUUAAAAAAAAUUAAAAGAUGAUUUUUUAAUUAAAUCUCUCCUUUGUGUCCUCAUGUAAUUUCAUGUGUUCUAUCAUCGUUUAUAAUGCUUAUUGCUUCUGCAUUGCUUUACGUUACAGACAAGUGUAUAUUAUACACAUAUAUUUUAUUUCAGAAAUGCAUUUUGGAUUUCCUACAUUUACUCACUGUACAGACAAAUAUAUUUUAUACAUAUAUAUAUUUUUUAAACAUUUUUUGAAAUGUAUUCCAUAGACAGAUCUAAAUAUAUUUAGAUGCAUUUUGAAUUUCUAAAUGUCAAUAUUUUUACUAUCUGUGUCACGUGUUUAUGCCCAUUUAUGUACAUCCUGUUAACACCUCACACAGAUGGUCAGUGGCUUAAAAAAGAAGACAACAGUAACAUGUCAGAUAUAGUUUAAAUGUAUUCAUUGUUGAGUUUGCACCCCAAUAUGACACUUGAAAUAUUUCACAGAAGACACCUAUUGUGUUUAUUGAGAUGUACACGGAGAUGCUCAGUUGGUCAAUAUUCCCCUCCGGUGAUUCCCCAACAUCUUGUCAACAUAUCUUGUCAACAUGGGACUCAAAAAUUAUCUCCAAUAUAUUGUCCAUGUAAAAAGCCUGUCUGAUUAGAAUUAAUAAUGUCCGACAAUACCUUUUUAAUUCUAUGCGCUAUACAUUUUGCUAGCAUUUUUGCAUCACAACACUGAAGUGUAAGGGGCCUCCAAUUUUUUUAUGGACUGGAUCUUUAUAUUUACCACUUUGAAUCGUGUUUCAGUAAUAAUGAAGGAGUGGUUAAAACAUGCUAAUAACGGUCCUCUGAGGAUAUCAAAAAAGGUUUAUCAGAGUUAUUGACCUCACAAGAAGUCAGAUUCGAGUAACUUACAUUGUGGUGCUGAAACUUGAAGCAGCAGCCAAGGCACAAUCAAUCGGAAAUGGACAGCUCAUGGUGCUGAAAGUAUGCAAAUUGGAGUAAACAUUAUUCAUUUUAAACGUCUUCAUUUUAAUUAGGGAUAUGUGUUGGAGCCUAUAUCUUCCUAUUUAAGAAAUAAGAGGUAGGCUGUUAGUUCAAGAUUUUGUAGAAAAUCAAACAGAUGUGAUUAUAUACAGUUAUCUAUAACAACGCUUUGGUCCGCGAUUCUUAAUGCUAGAAACAAGAUGUAAAAUAGGAAUAACUGGGAAAGACGUGACUCUGAUGCAUAUGGGGAUAUUGUUGUUUCAUUUGGAAAAAAUAUAAUUCUGUCAUUAUCAAUUGAUUAAGCUAUUCACAUUCUGUACAAUAAAAUACAUUUAAACCCAGACAGCUUUUAGGGAAACAAUUGUGACCUCUCGUUGGGUUAAGCCAAGGAAGAAGAUUAGCCAGCAGUUGAAGCUUACAUUUUUCUGCGUCAGUAGGCCUACUCGGUCUGGGGUGGAAAGGUAGGCCUAACUUGAAAGUACCAUGCUCAGAUCCCUAUUGAGGUCUCAGAGUUAAUUAUUUGCAAACAGGUUCAGUUUCGUUGCCAAUAAUACACACUUUUUUGGCAUUGUAGAAAUAUAAUAAGAUGAACACAUAGGACUAUCUCUCUGUCUAUACUGUAAUUUCAGUCAUUUGUGAUUUGUUUUAAAACGUUUCUACUAAUACUGUAUGGUAACUCUAUUGAAGUCCACUCUGGUACAACACACUAAAGGUGUAUCUCUUUCUCAACAUUUUAGGAGAACUUAAGAUAUUUUGUUAUUUGUGAUGGUACUCUAGGUGCGAGGGCCAUCCUGUGCCAACAGUCAAUUGAUGAUGGAUCACCUUCUGACCCCGUGGUGACCCAGGUGACCCGCCUGCCAUAGAAUUGACCUGGUAUUUGAGCCAGCAACCUUUCGGUAACUGGCCCAAUGAUCUAAUCUUGAGGCUACAUGCCACCCCUUAGAAUGUAGGGUGACUCCCCUAGUGGGUCCUGAACCCAGGUCAGCAGCACUACAUUGCUGUGUGUCUGUAUAGUUGAGGGUAUAUUGGUUUAGUAAUACUCAAUUCAGUUCUGGUACCAGAGGGGACAUCAAUGCUGUUACACUUAGCCAUGAUCACCAAGCUACCCUGACUUAAUAAAACCUGAAUUCAAAAAGAACAAGAUGUGGUUGUCGUUAUUUUAUUUUAACUUGUAUUAUAGUAUGCCCACAUUUCUGUCCACUACUUUUGAAUCAGGUAGCAAUUAAAUGUAAGGGGCUUAAUACAGUUCCAGCCACUAGGGGGUACUCUGGUGAAGCCCAUGGGAAAAAAAUUAAUGUAGUUUAAGUGAAUUGGGAAGAGUAAGAAUGAAAAACUAAAGAAAGACUGUAAACGGCUGUUACCUGUGCUGACAUGAUUAAACGUGAAGUAAACCGUACUUUUCGCGUUGUAGUUUAUAUGAUAAGCUCAUUGGAAGGGAAACAUAAACAGAUACAUGUGCUGCCUUUCCAACUGAUGUCAAGUUCCAACACAAAUAUUGAAAUAUUCAUGGGGCGGCAGGGUAGCCUAGUGGUUAGAGCAUUGGACUAGCGCAAGUUCAAAUCCCCGAGCUGACAAGGGGAUUUGUCGUUCUGCCCCUGAACAGACAGUUAACCCACUGUUCCUAGGCCGUCAUUGAAAAUAAGAAUUUGUUCUUAACUGACUUGCCUAGUUAAAUAAAGGUAAAAAAGAAAAAUAAAUAGACUUUCACAUUGUAGGUCUGUUGUUAAAACAAUAUAAUCAUAAUAUGUGNNNNNNNNNNGCCAGCAGUUGAAGCUUACAUUUUUCUGCGUCAGUAGGCCUACUCGGUCUGGGGUGGAAAGGUAGGCCUAACUUGAAAGUACCAUGCUCAGAUCCCUAUUGAGGUCUCAGAGUUAAUUAUUUGCAAACAGGUUCAGUUUCGUUGCCAAUAAUACACACUUUUUUGGCAUUGUAGAAAUAUAAUAAGAUGAACACAUAGGACUAUCUCUCUGUCUAUACUGUAAUUUCAGUCAUUUGUGAUUUGUUUUAAAACGUUUCUACUAAUACUGUAUGGUAACUCUAUUGAAGUCCACUCUGGUACAACACACUAAAGGUGUAUCUCUUUCUCAACAUUUUAGGAGAACUUAAGAUAUUUUGUUAUUUGUGAUGGUACUCUAGGUGCGAGGGCCAUCCUGUGCCAA
rnacentral:lncRNA from 13 species